rnacentral:rRNA from 1 species
GUGGAUAGCGGAGAAAUUCCAAUCGAACCCGGAGAUAGCUGGUUCUCCUCGAAAUAGCUUUAGGGCUAGCCUCGUUUUAGUCUGGUGGAGGUAGAGCACUGAAUUCCCAAGGGGGCGUCAAAGCUUACUAAGGGAUAUCAAACUCCGAAUGCCAUACAGAUGAUGAACGGGAGUCAGACUAUACGAGAUAAGUUGGAUAGUCAAAAGGGAAAGAGCCCAGACCUGCAGCUAAGGUCCCAAAGUGCAUGUUAAGUGGAAAAGGAUGUGGGAUCUCUAAGACAACUAGGAUGUUGGCUCAGAAGCAGCCAUUCAUUCAAAGAGUGCGUAACAGCUCACUAGUCGAGAGGUCCUGCGCCGAAAAUGUCCGGGGCUAAAACAUGCCACCGAAGCUCAGGAAUGACAUAGUCAUUGGUAGAGGAGCAUUCUUAACGCGAAGAAGCAGUACCGUAAGGAGCUGUGGAGUGCUAAGAAGAGAGAAUGCCGGAAUGAGUAGCGAGAACAAGGUGAGAAUCCUUGUGGCCGAAUAUCCAAGGUCUCCAGGGUAAAGCUGAUCUGCCCUGGGAAAGUCGGGACCUAAGGUCAGGCUGAAAAGCGUAGCCGAUGGACAACAGGUUGAUAUUCCUGUACCGCAUGGUAACAGAACUGUGGGGACACGGGAGGGAAACAUGGGCCGGAAAUGGAAAGUCCGGUACAAGCGAGGUAGUCGCACAGCAGGCAAAUCCGCUGUGCAUAAGACGAAGCCGUGAUGUGGAGCGAAAUGAAGUAGCGAAGCAUGUGCCCCCUCCUGUCGAGAAAAGCCGCUAUUGUUUGCCAUGCGCCCGUACCGUAAACCGACACAGGUGGAUGAGGAGAGAAUCCUAAGGCCGGCGGGAGAAGCAUUGUCAAGGAACUCGGCAAAAUGACCCCGUAACUUCGGGAGAAGGGGUGCCCACGCAAGUGGGCCGCAGAGAAUAGGCUCAAGCAACUGUUUAGCAAAAACACAGGUCUAUGCGAAACCGUAAGGUGAUGUAUAUGGGCUGACGCCUGCCCGGUGCUGGAAGGUUAAGAGGAGAGGUUAGAGCAAUCGAAGCUUUGAAUUGAAGCCCCAGUAAACGGCGGCCGUAACUAUAACGGUCCUAAGGUAGCGAAAUUCCUUGUCGGGUAAGUUCCGACCCGCACGAAAGGCGUAAUGAUUUGAGCGCUGUCUCGACAAUGCACCCGGUGAAAUUGAAGUACCAGUGAAGAUGCUGGUUACCCGCGCCAGGACGGAAAGACCCCAUGGAGCUUUACUCCAGUUUGGUACUGGAGCCUGGUAUUGCAUGUACAGGAUAGGUGGGAGCUUAAGAACCUGGGACGCCAGUCUCAGGGGAGGCGCUGUUGGGAUACCACCCUUGCAAUAUCGGGUUUCUAACCAGCCGCCGUGAUCCGGCGGUGGGACAAUGCCAGGCGGGGAGUUUGACUGGGGCGGUCGCCUCCGAAAGGGUAUCGGAGGCGCUCAAAGUUUCCCUCAUAAUGGUCGGAAACCAUUAGAAGAGUGCAAAGGCAGAAGGGAGGCUGACUGCGACACCGACGGGUGGAGCAGGUACGAAAGUAGGACUUAGUGAUCCGGUGGCAUAAAGUGGGAUUGCCAUCGCUCAACGGAUAAAAGCUACCCUGGGGAUAACAGGCUUAUCACUCCCAAGAGUUCACAUCGACGGAGUGGUUUGGCACCUCGAUGUCGGCUCAUCGCAUCCUGGGGCUGUAGUAGGUCCCAAGGGUUGGGCUGUUCGCCCAUUAAAGCGGUACGCGAGCUGGGUUCAGAACGUCGUGAGACAGUUCGGUCCCUAUCCGGCGCGGGCGUAGGAUAUCUGAGGGGAGCUGGCCUUAGUACGAGAGGACCGGGCUGGACGGACCACUGGUGUACCGGCUGUCAUGCCAAUGGCAUCGCCGGGUAGCCAAGUCCGGAAGGAAUAAACGCUGAAGGCAUCUAAGCGUGAAGUCCCCCCCAAGAUGAGAUAUCCCAUCCUUUU